rnacentral:rRNA from 1 species
ACGAACGCUGGCGGCGUGCUUAACACAUGCAAGUCGAACGGAAAGGCCCUGCUUUUGUGGGGUGCUCGAGUGGCGAACGGGUGAGUAACACGUGAGUAACCUGCCCUUGACUUUGGGAUAACUUCAGGAAACUGGGGCUAAUACCGGAUAGGAGCUCCUGCUGCAUGGUGGGGGUUGGAGAGUUUCGGCGGUUGGGGAUGGACUCGCGGCUUAUCAGCUUGUUGGUGGGGUAGUGGCUUACCAAGGCUUUGACGGGUAGCCGGCCUGAGAGGGUGACCGGCCACAUUGGGACUGAGAUACGGCCCAGACUCCUACGGGAGGCAGCAGUGGGGAAUAUUGCACAAUGGGCGGAAGCCUGAUGCAGCAACGCCGCGUGCGGGAUGACGGCCUUCGGGUUGUAAACCGCUUUCGCCUGUGACGAAGCGUGAGUGACGGUAAUGGGUAAAGAAGCACCGGCUAACUACGUG